ACGGCCAUAUCACGUUGAUGCACCGGCUCUCGUUCAAUCACCGAAGUUAAGCAACGUCGAGCCUGGUCAGUACCUAGAUGAGUAACCGCAUGGGAACACCAGGAGCUGUAAG